AUUGAACGCUGGCGGCGUGCUUAACACAUGCAAGUCGUGCGGUAACAGGCGUAGCAAUACGUGCUGACGAGCGGCGAACGGGUGCGUAAUACAUGGGAAUCUGCCCUUUAGUGGGGAAUAACCCGGCGAAAGCCGGGCUAAUGCCGCAUAAGAUCUUCGGAUGAAAGCGGGGGAUCGUAAGACCUCGCGCUGAUGGAUGAGCCCAUGUCGGAUUAGCAGUUGGUGAGGUAACGGCUCACCAAGGCGACGAUCCGUAGCUGGUCUGAGAGGACGGCCAGCCACACUGGGACUGAGACACGGCCCAGACUCCUACGGGAGGCAGCAGUGGGGAAUAUUGGACAAUGGGCGAAAGCCUGAUCCAGCGACGCCGCGUGUGUGAAGAAGGCCUGCGGGUU
rnacentral:rRNA from 1 species